rnacentral:rRNA from 1 species
GACGAACGCUGGCGGCGUGCUUAACACAUGCAAGUCGUACGGUAAGGCCCUUUCGGGGGUACACGAGUGGCGAACGGGUGAGUAACACGUGAGUAACCUGCCCACCACUUUGGGAUAACGCUAGGAAACUGGUGCUAAUACUGGAUAUGUGCUCCUGCUGCAUGGUGGGGGUUGGAAAGCUCCGGCGGUUGUGGAUGGACUCGCGGCCUAUCAGCUUGUUGGUGGGGUAGUGGCCUACCAAGGCGGCGACGGGUAGCCGGCCUGAGAGGGUGACCGGCCACAUUGGGACUGAGAUACGGCCCAGACUCCUACGGGAGGCAGCAGUGGGGAAUAUUGCACAAUGGGCGCAAGCCUGAUGCAGCAACGCCGCGUGCGGGAUGACGGCCUUCGGGUUGUAAACCGCUUUCAGCAGGGACGAAGCUUUUUGUGACGGUACCUGCAGAAGAAGCACCGGCUAACUACGUG